AACGAACGCUGGCGGCAUGCCUAACACAUGCAAGUCGAACGAGACCUUCGGGUCUAGUGGCGCACGGGUGCGUAACGCGUGGGAACCUGCCCUUAGGUUCGGAAUAACUCCCCGAAAGGGGUGCUAAUACCGGAUAAUGUCCUCGGACCAAAGAUUUAUCGCCUUUGGAUGGGCCCGCGUUGGAUUAGCUAGUUGGUAGGGUAAAAGCCUACCAAGGCGACGAUCCAUAGCUGGUCUGAGAGGAUGAUCAGCCACACUGGGACUGGGACACGGCCCAGACUCCUACGGGAGGCAGCAGUGGGUAAUAUUGGACAAUGGGCGAAAGCCUGAUCCAGCAAUGCCGCGUGAGUGAUGAAGGCCUUAGGGUUGUAAAGCUCUUUUACCCGGGAUGAUAAUGACAGUACCGGAAGAAUAAGCUCCGGCUAACUCCGUG
rnacentral:rRNA from 1 species